rnacentral:rRNA from 1 species
CAGCCGCCGCGGGAAUACGAAGGGGGCUAGCGUUGCUCGGAAUUACUGGGCGUAAAGCGUGCGCAGGCGGUUCGUUAAGACAGAUGUGAAAUCCCCGGGCUCAACCUGGGAACUGCAUUUGUGACUGGCAGGCUAGAGUAUGGCAGAGGGGGGUGGAAUUCCGCGUGUAGCAGUGAAAUGCGUAGAUAUGCGGAGGAACACCGAUGGCGAAGGCAGCCCCCUGGGCCAAUACUGACGCUCAUGCACGAAAGCGUGGGGAGCAAACAGGAUUAGAUACCCCGCGUAGUCCCUGUCUCUUAUA